CACCUUCUCUUGGCAGAGUUCGAAGCCCUUGAUGAAGGCGGCCUGGCCGAACUCGACCUUCAGAUCCCUCAUCUCGGAGGAGGUUUUGAAUUCCUCCACUGCCCAGACCAUUACCUCCGAGACCAGAGUUGGAAUCUGUGCCUUCAACUCAGAGACCUCGAUCUCUGCUUUCUUUCUCUCCUCCUCCAAAGUGGCCCUCAAGUCUGCCAAGGUCUGCCCCUCC
rnacentral:lncRNA from 1 species